rnacentral:rRNA from 1 species
UGGGGGAUAUUGCACAAUGGGGGGAACCCUGAUGCAGCGACGCCGCGUGGGCGAAGAAGUAUUUCGGUAUGUAAAGCCCUAUCAGCAGGGAAGAAAGCGACGGUACCUGAGUAAGAAGCCCCGGCUAAAUACGUGCCAGCAGCCGCGGUAAUACGUAUGGGGCAAGCGUUAUCCGGAUUUACUGGGUGUAAAGGGAGCGCAGGCGGCCUGGCAAGUCUGAUGUGAAAUACCGGGGCCCAACCCCGGGGCUGCAUUGGAAACUGCCAGGCUGGAGUGCCGGAGAGGCAGGCGGAAUUCCUAGUGUAGCGGUGAAAUGCGUAGAUAUUAGGAGGAACACCAGUGGCGAAGGCGGCCUGCUGGACGGUGACUGACGCUGAGGCUCGAAAGCGUGGGGAGCAAACAGG